rnacentral:rRNA from 1 species
UGUAGUCAUAUGCUUGUCUCAAAGAUUAAGCCAUGCAUGUCUAAGUAUAAGCAACUUGUACAGUGAAACUGCGAAUGGCUCAUUAAAUCAGUUAUCGUUUAUUUGAUAAUCCCUUACUACAUGGAUACCUGUGGUAAUUCUAGAGCUAAUACAUGCUUCAAGGAGUGGCUCUCGUCACUCUGCACUUAUUAGAUAAAAAACCAAUGCCCCUUUGGGGCUCCCUGGUGAUUCAUAAUAAUUUAGCGGACCGCAUUCCCUCGAGGAGGCGGUGGAUCAUUCAAAUUUCUGCCCUAUCAACUUUCGAUGGUAGGAUAGUGGCCUACCAUGGUUUCAACGGGUAACGGGGA